CUACGGGUCGCUGCAGUUGAGGAACUUUUACAAUGCUCGAAAGAGUGAUCGAGUGAGCCAGAGUGUUUCUCUUAGAGAAACUUUUGUCUGCUGUAAAAAGGCAGACGAAUAAGGACUGGGCAAGACCGGUGCCAGCCGCCGCGGUAAUACCGGCGGUCCAAGUUGCAUCCACAUUUAUUGGGUCUAAAACAUUCGUAGCUUGUUUUGUAAGUUUCUUGUGAAAUUUCAUGUCUCAAGCAUGAAGCGUGCAAGAAAUACUACAUUACUAGAGACCGGAAGGCGCAAAGAGUACGAUCGAGGUAGCGGUAAAAUGUGUUAAUCUUGAUUGGACUAACAAUGGCGAAGGCACUUUGCGAGUACGGAUCUGACAGUGAGGGAUGAAGGCUAGGGGCGCAAAAGGGAUUAGAUACCCGUGUAGUC
rnacentral:rRNA from 1 species